rnacentral:rRNA from 1 species
CCUACGGGAGGCAGCAGUGGGGAAUAUUGCACAAUGGGCGAAAGCCUGAUGCAGCGACGCCGCGUGAGGGAUGACGGCCUUCGGGUUGUAAACCUCUUUCAGCAGGGAAGAAGCGCAAGUGACGGUACCUGCAGAAGAAGCGCCGGCUAACUACGUGCCAGCAGCCGCGGUAAU